GCGGGCCGCUACGGGAGAGCUGCGCGGUACGGGGACGGUAGAAGCUGUUACCUCCCUAUGUUGUGAAGUAAUUCAUUGGAGGUCUGAAAGCAGCUGGAGCAGCUUGGCGGCUGGUAACUGAGCAGCUGAUCGGAGCGACCAGGGCUUGAGGGCUCUGUGUGAGGCAGCUGUGCUCCUGAUGGACCUGGAGGCGUUUAAGGACAUGUUAGUGUCAGUCUGCACACAUGCAAAGAGUAUGAAGAAAAUAAUGAAACAUUAACAUUCGCAGUCAGCAGUUCUGUAUGUUGCAGCCUAAAAUGCACACAAGAUACCAACCUGCUGGGAUGCUGAGCUCCAGCUGCUUGAUUCCUUGAUACACAGUGCUCCAUUUGGCCACCGAAUGUGCUGCCUUUGUCACAAAUACCUGCAGGACAGAUCCCACGUUAGGUGAAUUAUAUGGUUGUGUGGGGUUUGUGAAGAGACUCGGGCAGCAGGGGAGUAUGUGGGAUGUGGAGUGUCAAUGGGAAGUGUAAAUCCUGCCCUGAAUGAGCAGAGAAGCUCACAGUGUGAGGUGUGAGACAGAACACAAAAAGAUGCUGUCUUCAUUUUUUGCACUGCUGGUGAUUUUUGACCACUUGCUUGAAUCUUUCACAGUGAGCCCCUUGGGUUUGUGGUGGCUGUGUUCCUGUGCUUGUCACUGAGCUCAGAGGGCAGCUUCUUGGCGUUAGGGAGGUGAAGCAACCCCUGAGCUGUGUUAAGACCAUAGGAGCCAGAGGACAAACAUUCUUCUUGUGAUGCCUUUC
rnacentral:lncRNA from 1 species